CGAGGGAAGCCGGGCGGCAGGAACGCCGCCAACCCCGUCAGGCCCGAGAGGGAGCAGCGGCAACGGUUGUUCUUGGGUGUCCGGUUUCCCUGAAAG
rnacentral:SRP_RNA from 1 species